rnacentral:snRNA from 1 species
AUCGCUUCUUGGCCUUUCAGCUAAGAUCAAAUGUAGCAUCUGUUCUUAUCAGUUUAAUAUCUGAAAUGUCCUCUAUCCGAGGACAAUAUAUUAAAUGGAUUUUUGGAACAGGGAGAUGGAAGAGGAGCUUGCUCCAUCCACUCCAUGCAUUGACCUGGUAUUGCAGUAACUCCAGGAACGGUGCACCCCCC